rnacentral:rRNA from 1 species
AGCGGCGGACGGCUGAGUAACACGUAGGAACGUACCCCAAACUGAGGGAUAAGCACCAGAAAUGGUGUCUAAUACCGCAUGUGGUCUUCGGAUUAAAGCUUCGGCGGUUUGGGAACGGCCUGCGCAUGAUUAGCUUGUUGGUGAGGUAAUGGCUCACCAAGGCUAUGAUCAUUAGCUGGUCUGAGAGGAUGAUCAGCCAGACUGGGACUGAGAACGGCCCAGACUCCUACGGGAGGCAGCAGUAGGGAAUUUUCCACAAUGGGCGAAAGCCUGAUGGAGCAACGCCGCGUGCAGGAUGAAUGCCUUCGGGUUGUAAACUGCUUUUAUAUGUGACGAUUUUGACGGUAGCAUAUGAAUAAGGAUCGGCUAACUCCGUGCCAGCAGCCGCGGUCAUACGGAGGAUCCAAGCGUUAUCCGGAAUUACUGGGCGUAAAGAGUUGCGUAGGUGGCACUGUAAGUUGAUAGUGAAAGCGUUCGGCUCAACCGAAUACACAUUAUCAAAACUGCAGAGCUAGAGGACGAGAGAGGUAAUUGGAAUUCCUAAUGUAGGGGUAAAAUCCGUUGAUAUUAGGAGGAACACCGAUGGCGUAGGCAGAUUACUGGCUCGUUCCUGACACUAAGGCACGAAAGCGUGGGGAGCAAACAGGAUUAGAUACCCUGGUAGUCCACGCCGUAAACUAUGGAUGCUAGCUGUUAUCGGUAUCGACCCCGGUAGUAGCGAAGCUAACGCGUUAAGCAUCCCGCCUGUGGAGUACGGUCGCAAGACUAAAACAUAAAGGAAUUGACGGGGACCCGCACAAGCGGUGGAGCGUGUUGUUUAAUUCGA